AGACUUAGCAGAGAAAUAAGUGCAACAAUGAUCAGACUUGAGGUUGUGACUGCUUUUGUCAUCCUGGCAGUUAUCUGGCCUGGUACUGAUGGACAAACACUGACUGAGUCUGAAUCAGUGGUCAAAAGGCCGGCAGAGUCCCACAGACUGACCUGCACAUAUUCUGGGUUUAGUGGCACUCCUUGGUUUGUUUGGGUCAGACAGCCAGCUGGAAAAGGACUGGAGUGGGUUUCUGGUAUCAGUGACAGUGGUGGCAGCACCUACUAUCCUCAGUCAUUGAGAGGUCGGGUCACCAUCUCCAGAGACAACAGCAGAAGUCAGGUGUAUCUGCAGAUGAACAGCUUGUCAGCGGAGGACUCUGCUGUUUAUUAUUGCGCUCGAUGGUCCACAGUGACACAGAAACCAGGAACUCUGUACAAAAACGAUUCAGCACAUGAAAGUUUUUAA